rnacentral:rRNA from 1 species
AGUGAACGCUGGCGGUAGGCCUAACACAUGCAAGUCGAACGGCAGCACAGGAGAGCUUGCUCUCUGGGUGGCGAGUGGCGGACGGGUGGGGAAUACAUCGGAAUCUACUCUGUCGUGGGGGAUAACGUAGGGAAACUUGCGCUAAUACCGCAUACGACCUACGGGUGAAAGCAGGUGACCUUCGGGCCUUGCGCGAUUGAAUGAGCCGAUGUCGGAUUAGCUAGUUGGCGGGGUAAAGGCCCACCAAGGCGACGAUCCGUAGUUGGUCUGAGAGGAUGAUCAGCCACACUGGAACUGAGACACGGUCCAGACUCCUACGGGAGGCAGCAGUGGGGAAUAUUGGACAAUGGGCGCAAGCCUGAUCCAGCCAUACCGCGUGGGUGAAGAAGGCCUUCGGGCUGUAAAGCCCUUUUGUUGGGAAAGAAAUCCAGCUGGCUAAUACCCGGUUGGGAUGACGGUACCCAAAGAACAAGCACCGGCUAACUUCGUGCCAGCAGCCGCCGCCG